rnacentral:rRNA from 1 species
AUUGAACGCUGGCGGCAGGCCUAACACAUGCAAGUCGAACGAGUGGCGGACGGGUGAGUAAUGUCUGGGAAACUGCCUGAUGGAGGGGGAUAACUACUGGAAACGGUAGCUAAUACCGCAUACCAUCGGAUGUGCCCAGAUGGGAUUAGCUAGUAGGGGGGGUAAAGGCUCACCUAGGCGACGAUCCCUAGCUGGUCUGAGAGGAUGACCGGCCAAACUGGACCUGGAACACGGUCCAGACUCCAACGGAAGGCGGCGGUGGGGAAUAUUGCACAAUGGGCGAAAGCCUGAUGCAGCCAGGCCGCGUGUAGAAAGAAGGCCUUCGGGUUGUAAAGUACUUUCAGCGGGGAGACGUUACCCGCAGAAGAAGCACCGGCUAACUCCGUGCCAGCACCGCGGUAAUUC